AACGAACGCUGGCGGCAUGCCUAACACAUGCAAGUCGAACGCGUGUAGCAAUACACGAGUGGCGGACGGGUGAGUAACGCGUGGGAACCUGCCCAAUGGUAGGGAAUAACUGCGGGAAACUGCAGCUAAUACCCUAUGCUCCCUACGGGGGAAAGAUUUAUCGCCAUUGGAGGGGCCCGCCUCGGAUUAGCUAGUUGGCGGGGUAACGGCCCACCAAGGCUACGAUCCGUAGCUGGUCNGAGAGGAUGAUCAGCCACACUGGGACUGAGAUACGGCCCAGACUCCUACGGGAGGCAGCAGUGGGGGAAUAUUGGACGAAUGGGGGAAACCCUGAUCCAGCAAUGCCGCGUGAGUGAAGAAGGCCUUAGGGUUGUAAAGCUCUUUCGGCGAGACGAUGGUGACGGUACCCGCAGAAGAAGCCCCGG
rnacentral:rRNA from 1 species